rnacentral:rRNA from 1 species
UACGGAGGGUGCAAGCGUUAAUCGGAAUUACUGGGCGUAAAGCGUGCGCAGGCGGUUCGUCAAGUCUUGUGUGAAAGCCCCGGGCUCAACCUGGGAAUGGCAUGGGAAACUGGCGAGCUGGAGUGCGGCAGAGGGGGGUGGAAUUCCGCGUGUAGCAGUGAAAUGCGUAGAGAUGCGGAGGAACACCGAUGGCGAAGGCAGCCCCCUGGGUCGACACUGACGCUCAGGCACGAAAGCGUGGGGAGCAAACAGG